UUUCUGCCUCCUCCCCAGGAAGGAAUCUGCCCUUUUAGCAAUUGCUCUACACCUGCUUUGCCUCGGCGACAGAAGGGCUGCAACACCUGACCACCAUGAGGAGAUCUCCAGGCCAGCGCUUCGUCCAGCCACCACAAAAUGGCUGCUUGUGUACAGCAGCCCCCUGGUCCCAGGCAGCAAUUUCUCUCCUGCUGUGGGGGCACUGGAACAGCCAAGCUGCCUUCAUGGCCACUGGAUGAUGAAGGAAGGUUUAAUGGCCCCACGUUCGAGGCUGGAGAUGCCAAACAAACAUUUUUUGGAGUUGAGUGGAUGGAUGUGCUAUGGGAUCAGCUCAGGUUGAUGGGAGUCCUGCAGAUUUAGGUCCUCUGCAUCUUCAACACU